rnacentral:rRNA from 1 species
AUGGUCCAGCAACUGGCUCUGUGCCUCCCGGCGUUGCGCAACUCGCAGUCCGCGCCGACGAGCGGCUGCUGCGUGGGGGUGCGCAACAUCGGUAUGAGGAGCCCCGGUUGCGUGUGCGCCUUCUUCCAGUCCGACGUCUUCAAACUCGCCGGAGUGAAGCCUGAAGUCGCAAUCGCAAUCCCCAAGCGCUGUGGCAUUGCCGACUGCGGAGGUACGUACGUAGUACUGCGUACGAUGCGUAGGUGUAUGCUAGUAGUAUAUACGUACUUCUCAACGAGUAAUAUGUGUGCUAUAAAUAAUGCCUACCUUUUCUUUCUUGGAGCUGAAUAG